rnacentral:rRNA from 1 species
AUGGAUGAACCAAGCGAGAUAGAACAGAUGAUCGAUGCCAUUAGAACCACACUAGGGUCUUUGGGUGAUGAUGAGACGUCAAUGAAUGUUUCAGCCUAUGAUACGGCGUUGGUUGCUCUUGUCAAGAACCUUGACGGAGGCGAUGGACCGCAAUUCCCCUCGUGCAUCGAUUGGAUUGUUCAAAAUCAACUACCAGAUGGUUCGUGGGGUGAUCCCGCUUUCUUUAUGGUCCAAGAUCGGAUGAUCAGCACCCUCGCAUGUGUGGUGGCUGCGAAGUCUUGGAACAUUGGAAAUGACAACUUGUGCAACAGAGGUGUGUUAUUUAUCAAAGAAAAUAUGAGCAGGUUGCUAGAAGAGGAACAGGACUGGAUGCCAUGUGGCUUCGAGAUUAACUUCCCAGCACUCCUAGAGAAGGCGAAGGACCUGGACUUGGACAUCCAUUACAAUCACACUGUUUUGGAAGAGAUAUAUGCCAAGAGGAAUCUGAAGCUCUCUAAGAUACCUCUGGAUGUGCUACACGCCAUACCAACGACCCUACUUUUCAGUUUGGAGGGAAUGGUUGACUUACCAUUGGACUGGGAAAAGCUACUCACGUUGCGUUGUCCAGACGGAUCCUUCCAUUCCUCGCCUGCUGCCACAGCUGCUGCCCUUAGUUACACUGGCGACAAGGAAUGCCUAGCAUUUCUAGAUAGGCUUGUCAAAAUGUUCAAGGGGGGAGUGCCAUGUAGCCACUCUAUGGAUACUUUUGAGCAGUUAUGGGUGGUCGACCGGCUCAUUCGUCUGGGGAUAUCAAGGCACUUCACAAUUGAAAUUCAGCGGUGCUUAGAGUUUAUUUACAGGCGCUGGACUCAGAAGGGACUAGCUCAUAACGCGUACUGUCAAGUCGUGGAUAUUGAUGAUACGUCCAUGGGUUUCCGUCUCCUCCGUCAGCAUGGCUACGAUGUCACUCCAUCCGUGUUUAAGCACUUUGAGACCAAGGAUGGCAAUUUCUUCUGUUUCCCCAUGGAGACCAACCAUGCAUCUGUCACCCCGAUGUACAACACUUACCGUGCUUCGCAGUUCAUGUUCCCUGGUGACGACGACGUCCUGGCACGGGCCGGGCGCUAUUGUCGUGCAUUCCUCCAAGAGAGACAAGCCUCCAACAAACUGCACGACAAGUGGAUCAUUACCAAGGACCUGUCGGGCGAGGUCGAGUACACACUGAACUUUCCCUGGAAAGCAAGUUUGUCACGAAUUGAAACAAGGAUGUAUCUGGAUCAGUACGGAGGCAACACAGAUGUCUGGAUUGCUAAGGUCCUCUACAGAAUGAAUCUUGUGAGCAACGACAUGUACCUUAAAAUGGCAAAAGCUGAUUUCAGAGAAUAUCAAAGACUCUCCCGACUUGAGUGGAAUGGCCUCAGAAAGUGGUAUUUAAGAAACCAUCUGCAGAGGUAUGGUGGGACUCCAAAGAGCGCGCUCACGGCUUACUUCUUAGCUUCAGCAAAUAUCUUUGAACCUAGCCGAGCAGCAGAGCGUCUAGUAUGGGCUCGUGUGGCUGUGCUUGCUGAGGCGGUUACAGCUCACUUUCGACACAUUGGGGGUCCAUGCUAUUCAACAGAGAAUCUUGAAGAACUUAUCAACCUUGUUUCAUUUGGCGAUGCUUUUGGCGGUCUUCGUGAAGCUUGGAAGCAGUGGCUCAUGGCAUGGACUGCAAAGGAGAGCCAUGGAUCCGUUGAUGGAGAUACAUCACUGUUGUUCGUUCGCACCAUCGAGAUCGUCUCAGGAAGGAUUGCUUCAACCGAGCAGAAACUGAACCGUUGGGAUUAUUCCCAGCUGGAGCAGCUCACCUCUUCCAUCUGCCACAAGCUUGCCACAAUAGGUCUUGCUCAGAAUGGGGCAAGUAUGGAGAACACAGAGGGCUUACACCGGCAAGUGGAUUUGGAGAUGCAAGAACUAUCUUGGCGUGUUCAUCAGGGUUGCCAUGGCAUCAACAGAGAGACCAGACAGACAUUUCUCAACGUGGUGAAAAGCUUCUAUUACUCGGCUCAUUGCUCACCUGAAACAGUUGAUAGCCACAUCGCAAAGGUCAUAUUCCAGGAUGUGAUUUAG